CUAAGACUGAAAGUGAUACCACUGGUGAUCUAGAGGAAAGGAAUCUGCACAGAAGCAUGCAGGAAUCCCACAGUUUAAAGGAAAAUAGAGAAAGAUCACCAGAAAUUUGAGGAAACCUACAACAUAAAAGGUUGGGAGCAGAAGCUUUUGUCUCCUUUGGGACCAGCUGACACCAGGAGACAAUAUGGAAGAAAUAGAGUGCCAACUAGACCUUCC